rnacentral:rRNA from 1 species
AAUGAACGCUGGCGGCAUGCCUAACACAUGUAAGUCGAACGAGACCUUCGGGUCUAGUGGCGCACGGGUGCGUAACGCGUGGGAACCUGCCCUUAGGUUCGGAAUAACUCCCCGAAAGGGGUGCUAAUACCGGAUAAUGUCUUCGGACCAAAGAUUUAUCGCCUUUGGAUGGGCCCGCGUUGGAUUAGCUAGUUGGUAGGGUAAAAGCCUACCAAGGCGACGAUCCAUAGCUGGUCUGAGAGGAUGAUCAGCCACACUGGGACUGAGACACGGCCCAGACUCCUACGGGAGGCAGCAGUGGGGAAUAUUGGACAAUGGGCGAAAGCCUGAUCCAGCAAUGCCGCGUGAGUGAUGAAGGCCUUAGGGUUGUAAAGCUCUUUUACCCGGGAUGAUAAUGACAGUACCGGGAGAAUAAGCGCCGGCUAACUCCGUG